rnacentral:rRNA from 1 species
GAUCCUGGCUCAGAUUGAACGCUGGCGGCAGGCUUAACACAUGCAGGUCGAGCGGUAACAUAAAGAAGCUUGCUUUUUUGAUGACGAGUGGCGGACGGGUGAGUAAUGCUUGGGAAUCUAGCUUAUGGAGGGGGAUAACUACGGGAAACUGUAGCUAAUACCGCGUAAUAUCGAAAGAUUAAAGUGUGGGACCUUCGGGCCACAUGCCAUAGGAUGAGCCCAAGUGGGAUUAGGUAGUUGGUGAAGG